rnacentral:tRNA from 1 species
GCAGAUGUAGCUCAGUGGUAGAGUCCAAGUUUGAUAAACUUGUUGUCGUAAGUUCAAUUCUUACCAUCUGUACCA